rnacentral:rRNA from 1 species
AUUGAACGCUGGCGGCAAGCCUAACACAUGCAAGUCGAACGAGUGGCGGACGGGUGAGUAAUGUCUGGGAAACUGCCUGAUGGAGGGGGAUAACUACUGGAAACGGUAGCUAAUACCGCAUCCCAUCGGAUGUGCCCAGUUGGGAUUAGCUAGUAGGCGGGGUAAAGGCUCACCUAGGCGACGAUCCCUAGCUGGUCUGAGAGGAUGACCAGCCACACCGGAACUGAGACACGGGCCAGACUCCUACGGGAGGCAGGAGUGGGGAAUAUUGCACAAGGGGCGAAAGCCUGAUGCAGACAUGCCGCGUGUAUGAAGAAGGCCUUCGGGUUGUAAAGUACUUUCAGCGGGGAGGCGUUACCCGCAGACGAAGCACCGGCUAACUCCGUGCCAGCAGCCGCGGUAAUUC